AAACAUGUCAACAUUAGGUGUAGGGAAAUUUUCUCAAAAAUAUUUCAAUGUUUUUAGUUUUACGAUAAGUGUAAAUUACUCUCAUAUAGAUUUUAUUUCCAGAUUGGUGUAAUGAAGGCUCGAAAGGCCCACUUAACGUGCUCUUCAUCAGUAUUACGGCAGAGGAUUACGCGGAGUCGAUUCGCUGACAGUCUUAUCUACAAUAACUACGCAGCUCCAUCGAACGUUCAAAAACCUAAGGCAAGGCAAUCUCGAUAUAGAAGACCAUGGUGCAAUUAAAGUUUUGUAUCGUCCUAAAAUUCUGGCUCUACUCUCAAUGCAACCACCAACAAAUUCAAAAUCAAUCUGGAGCCAAGUACGAGAAAAUUAGGACCUUUUCCUAGUCUAGGGGGAAGAUGUUCGGCUGAGGUCAACUCCUGGUCCGGAUUAGGACUUUUUCGGAUUGUAAAUUUUGACGAAUUCCAGGGGCAUGUGAAAUCUAUCAUCUCGUAAGCCUAAUGAGCUACAAAUGCAAAAAUGGCUACGACUUGUGCGGUGCAGUCAAAUCAAAAAAGAGAAGAAGAAGAAGAGACGAACCCUGCUGUUAAGAUCAAUUUGGCUGUCCAUCAUUUUGUGACUACAGUAAAGGACAGUGAGGACAAACAGGAUGAUCACGGUUUGAUACCUAAACAAGAUUCCAGGCAAACAUCAUGUCAGUCAGAACGAACCUGUGUCAAAAUUCACUAAAAUAAAGAGUAAUUGCUUAAAUAGCAUGGUGCUAUUCGAACCACGGAUAAAUUUUACACAUUUAUGAGAGCCAAGAUUUCCAGAACAAGCCUCCCUGCACUCAAGCUUAAAUCUAAUCGCGUUUUCAAGGGCCUUACUGCGGAAGCUAUGCACAAAUGUGUUCCGUUUAUUCCGGUGUUGAACUUAGUCUGUAGAUUAAAAAAACACCUUAAAAAGACUAAAAAAAAAUGUUCCGUUUAUUUCAGAUUUGCUGCGUCGUGCCAUGCGUGAAAUAGUAAAAAUGACAGUUGUGUGUUGCUUCCAUAUUGAGUGGUGUGCCCUUGAAAACGCGAGUGAAUUUAGUUUUAAAUUCCUGGAGGCUUGUUCUUCAAAAGGCAAGCUAAUGUAAUUGAUAAAUCAAAAAUUCUCUACUUAGCACAUUGAAGCAUGUAUCGAGAGAACGUUAUUAUUGCCAAACAGCGCCAUCAACAGUCUAGUACUUAUUCAUACUUCUGUGUUAGUAUAUCCACUCAUGGUUAGAACCUAAAAAAAGGGUUUCGAAAUGUCGUCGAAACUAGGUCCAAUUAUUUCUUACAUAGAAACACUUUACUGCAAAAAAAAACUUUACAUGAAAGCUUAGUUCAUUAUCUUUCUAAAACAUCUUAGUAUUACACUUUAUGAAUAAUUUCAUUGAAAAAAACCUAAUAAUUGCAUAACAGUACCAUGGUUUGAACAAAGUUGAAUACAUCACCAGUAGUGUAUUCAUCUUAGUUUGAACUAAACUCGUAUCAACUAAAUUCGAAAAAAUGCUGAAAACCCUAUUGAGACGCAAAUUUCUUUAUCAAUUCAUCAUUUUCAUUGGAUUGUGUUACUUAUCCGAAAAGUAUGGAAAUUGUUUAAAUUUUCGUUAUAAAAAUAGCUAAUUUUUCAUGUAAACAAAAUGCUCCAGCUAAACAACAGUAAUGGAACUUGGACGAAUGUUCAAACCACGGUACAUUUUAAGUUCAAACGAUUGUAACCGUUUGGUUACAAAUUGUUAAUUUUUGUUUUGUUGUCAUGUUGUUUUGUCGGAGCCUUCACGUUUCUCGUGUAAUACCACCAGAGCUACCACAGAAGCGUUAGGGUUUGGUACCGCUGUAAUUAUAUGAGAGUGCUAUAAAACAUCCAACAUGGCAUCAAGUUUGGAUAAAUGCCAUGUUGGAUAAAAAUGACAUGCAAAAUUGCGGGAAAUAUGGAGGGAAUUUGUUUUAAAAGAGAAGCCAUUGCCAAAUUUCGGCCUCUUUAAUAUCAGGCGUCCGUGUGCUGUAGACCUGUUUUAAGUGCAGUGAGAACAGUGAUCAACUCCCCCCCCCCCUUCCUAGCAGGAGCUAGAUUGCACAUUGGGGAAAAGUGUUCAGGACCUCUCUUUUCCUAUGUCUUUUUCGAACUGCCAAUUCGUCCAGCACACGGUUCGGCCCGCGAAGUCAUUUGACUUCCGCGCCUAAUCCGUCAAGGAUACUGACGUCCUUCAUCGGACGAUUCCUCGGGCCGUAGGCCCUAACCGUAAAGGAGGAAUUCCCCUCUCGGCCGUCCAAGGUGGCUAAGCCACGGCCGGCCGAUCACGCCUACGAGGGAAGACGCCUGCCCACCAUCGUCCAGCAACGCCUGCUGGUCCCGUCGGACGAAGAUCGUCCGCAUAGCCGCUCGCCCCGCUAUUCCGGCGAGAUUUCUGGUCGCACAGCUGGACAGGAGUCGCUCUGUCGGCCAUUCUGCUCCCGUCAUUAUCAGCAGCAGCGGUAUGUACCGGUACCAUCUUUAGAACUAGGUCACACUUAACAAAUUAACACAAAUUUAUUACACAGAACAACACGCACACGCCACAAUUAGGAAAAAUAAAAUUAUAUUAGAAAAGUGAAA